rnacentral:rRNA from 1 species
CCUACGGGUGGCUGCAGUGGGGAAUAUUGGACAAUGGGGGGAACCCUGAUCCAGCCAUGCCGCGUGUGUGAAGAAGGCCCUCGGGUUGUAAAGCACUUUCAGUGAGGAAGAACGCCUGGUGGUUAAUACCCAUCAGGAAAGACAUCACUCACAGAAGCAGCACCGGCUAACUCCGUGCCAGCAGCCGCGGUAAUACGGAGGGUGCGAGCGUUAAUCGGAAUUACUGGGCGUAAAGCGCGCGUAGGUGGCUUGAUAAGCCGGUUGUGAAAGCCCCGGGCUCAACCUGGGAACGGCAUCCGGAACUGUCCAGCUAGAGUGCAGGAGAGGAAGGUAGAAUUCCCGGUGUAGCGGUGAAAUGCGUAGAGAUCGGGAGGAAUACCAGUGGCGAAGGCGGCCUUCUGGACUGACACUGACACUGAGGUGCGAAAGCUUGGGUAGCAAACAGGAUUAGAUACCCUAGUAGUC